AGGGCUUUAGCUUAAUUAAAGUGUCUGUUUUGCAUACAGAAGAUAUGAGUUAGUGUCUCGUAAGUCUUA
rnacentral:tRNA from 1 species